rnacentral:rRNA from 1 species
GAUGAACGCUGGCGGCGUGCUUAACACAUGCAAGUCGAACGAAACACCUUAUUUGAUUUUCUUCGGAACUGAAGAUUUGGUGAUUGAGUGGCGGACGGGUGAGUAACGCGUGGGUAACCUGCCCUGUACAGGGGGAUAACAGUCAGAAAUGACUGCUAAUACCGCAUAAGACCACAGCACCGCAUGGUGCAGGGGUAAAAACUCCGGUGGUACAGGAUGGACCCGCGUCUGAUUAGCUGGUUGGUGAGGUAACGGCUCACCAAGGCGACGAUCAGUAGCCGGCUUGAGAGAGUGAACGGCCACAUUGGGACUGAGACACGGCCCAAACUCCUACGGGAGGCAGCAGUGGGGAAUAUUGCACAAUGGGGGAAACCCUGAUGCAGCGACGCCGCGUGAGUGAAGAAGUAUUUCGGUAUGUAAAGCUCUAUCAGCAGGGAAGAAAAUGACGGUACCUGACUAAGAAGCCCCGGCUAACUACAUG